rnacentral:hammerhead_ribozyme from 1 species
AUCCAGCUGGCGAGUCUCAAAUAAGACGAAACUCGCGUCCUGGAU